rnacentral:lncRNA from 1 species
AGGCUGAACCUAGACAAGGGUUACAUCACUUAGGUGAUCAGUGUAGAGGUAUGUGAAAAUUCCCGUGUAGACAGAGCCUAGACAAUUGUUACAUCACCUAGUGAUCAGUGCAGGGAUAAGUCAUAAAGCCUCCUGUAGGCAGAGCGUAGACAAGAGUUCCCUCCCCAGGGUGAUCAGUGCAGAGAUGUGUCACAAAGCCCCUGUAGGCAGAGCCUAGACAAGAGUUUCAUCACUUGGUUGAUCAGUUCAGAGAUGUGUCACAAUGUCCAUGUAGGCAGAUCUAAGACAAGGGUCCAUCACCUGGGUGAUCAGUGCAGAGAUAUGUACCAAUGUGCCCUGUAGGCAGUGCCUAGACAAGAGUUGAAUCACCUCAGAGAUCAGUGCAUAGAUAUGUCACAAAGCCUUCUGUAGGCAAAGCCCAUACAAGGUUUACAUCACCUAGGUGAUCAGUGCAGUGAUAUGUCACAAAAAUCCCUGUAGACAGAGCCUAGACAAGAGUUACAUCACCUGGGUGAUCAGUGCAGAUAUUUGACACAAUGCCCCCAUAGACAGAGCCUAGACAAGACUUCCAUCACCUGGGUGAUCAGUGCAGAGAUAUGUCACAAAUCCCCCUCUAGGCAGAGUAUAGAGAAGAGUCCCAUCACCUGGGUGAUCAGUGCAGAGAUAUUUCACAAUGCCCCCUGUAGGCAGAGAGUGGACAAAAGUUACAUAACCUAGAUGAUCUGUGCAGAGCUAUGUCAAAACGCCCCUGUAGGCAGAGCCUAGAUGAGUGUUACAUCACCUGGGUGAUCACUGCAGAGAUACGUCACAAUACCCCCUGUAGGUGGGGCCUAGACAAGAGUUACAUCACCUGGGUGAUCAGUGGAGAUAUCUGUCACAAUUCGCCUUUAGGCGCAGCUUAGACAAGCGUUACAUCACAUGAGUGAUCAGUGCAGAGAUAUGUCACUAUGCCCCCAUAGGCAGAUCCAAGACAAGAGUCCAUCACCUGGGUGAUCAGUGCAGAAAUAUGCCACAAUGCCACCAGUAGACAGAUAUAGACAAGAGUUACAUCACCUGCGUGAUCACUGCAGAGAUAUGUCACAAUGCCCCUGUAGGCAGAGCCUAGACAAGAGUCCCAUCACCUGGGUGAUCAGUGCAGAGUUAUGUCACAAUGCCCCCUUUUGGCAGAGCCUAGACAAGGGUUACAUGACCUAGGUGAUCAGUGCAGAGAUACAUCGCAAUGCCCCUGUAGGCAGAGCCUUGACAAGUGGUACAUCACCUGGGUGAUCAUUGCAGGGAUAUGUCACAAAGCACCCUGUAGGCAGAUCCUAGAGAAGAGUUAUAUCACCUGGGUGAUCAGUGCAGAGAUAUGUCACAAGCCCCCUGUAGGCAGAGCCUAGACAAGAGUUAUAUCACCUGGGUGAUCAGUGCAGUCAUAUGUCACAAUGCUGUGUAGCCAGAGCCUAGACAAAAGUUACAGCACCUGGGAGAUCAGUGCAGAGAUAUGUCACAAUGUCCCCAGUAGGCAGAGACCAGGCAAGAGUUGGAUCACCUCGGGAUCAGUGCAGAGAUAUGUCUCAAUCCCCCUGUGGGCACAGCCUAGACAAGAGUUACAUCACCUCGGUUAACAGUGCAGAGAUAUGUCAAAAUGCCCCUGUAGGCAGAGCCUACACAAGUAUUACAUCACUUAGGUGAUCAGUGCAGAGAUAUGUCACAAUACCCCCUGUAAGCAGAGCCUAGACAAGAGUUACAUCACCUGGGUGAUCAGUGCAGACAUAUGUGACAAGGCCCCUUUAAGCAGAGCCUAGACAAUAGUUACAUCACCUGAGUGAUCAGUGCAGAGAUCUGUCACAAUGCCCCUUUAGGCAGAGCUUAGACCAGAGUUACAUCACCUGGGUGAUCAGUGCAGAGGUAUGUCACAGUGCCCCCAUAGGCAGAGCCUAGACAAGAGUUCCAUCACCUGUGUGAUCAGUGUAGAGAUAUGUCACAAUGCCUCCUGUAGGCAGAGGCUAGACAAGAGUUACAUCACCUGGAUUUUGUUUCCUGCAAUAUGUCACAAUGGCGAGGGUGAGGGUUAGGGUUAGGGUGAGGGUCAGGGUGAGGGUCAGGGUGAGGGUCAGGGUGAGGGUGAGGGUCAGGGUGAGGGUGAGGGUUAGGGUUAGGGUGAGCAUUAGGUUUAGGGUUAGGGUUAGGGUUAGGGGUUAGGCUUAGGCUUAGGGUAAGGCUUAGGGUUCAGGUUCAAGUUUGGAUUCGGGUUCGGGUUCAGGUUAAGAGUUAGGGUUAGGGUUACGGGUUAGGGUUAGGGGUUAGGGUUAGGUGUUAGGGCUGGGUUAGGUUUAGGGUUAGGGUUAUGGGUUACGGUUAGGGUUAGGGUUUAGGGUUAGGGUUAGGGUUAGGAUUGGGGUUAGGUUUAGGGUUAGGGUUAGGGUUAGGUUUAGGGUUGGGUUAGGGUUAGGAUUGGG